rnacentral:lncRNA from 1 species
CUCUUAGAUCUCUCUCUCUGCGGAAGCCAGCCACCGCUCUCCAAGGACUCUCGAGCAGCUCCAUCUACAGAUUCACAUGGAGAAGAAUUAAGGGUUCCUGCCAAUCACCAGCACCACUUUGCCAGCCUUGUAAGUGGGCCACCUUGGAAUUGGAGCCUCCAGUUCCUACUGACAUCUGACUGCAACAUCAUGAGAGACCCUGAGUUUGAACCACCCAGCUGAGCUGCUUCUGAGCUAACCCACUGAAACCGUGAAAGUACCUGAAUGAAACAACACCCAGUAGCCACUAGCACACCUAGCUCCCAGAUCUGUUUUUGAUGCCAUUCUUCAGUAAAAGGAAGCAAGGCUGCUUGGAGAAAUUGCUAUCAAGGACUGGGGUAGAAAAUAUACAAGAUGAAAUUGGAGCAUCUUGUAGUGCUUGAAAACAGUUGGCAUCUGUGUGAAGAUGUGAAUGGAGGAGGCAGAGUAGGCAGUGAGUGCCGCAGCCACAGCUUGUGUUCUCUGCAGCCCUGGCACAGAAGAUAGGAACACUCAUGGGGGAUGCGGCCACUGUGAUGUCUUCCCACACAAGAAGUGCCAAGUGCUUUUCUCAUGCUUUUCUGGAUUGUCCCAUGGUGGACGAGUCAGCAGGAGUGAGAUGGAGCAGCACAGUAGAGGGGUACCUGGCAAGGCCCGGAGGGAGGACCCCCUGCCCCAAACAUUUCAAUGAUAUCAGGUGACAGCCGUGAUCCUCUUAGCACCUGCUCUGUUUUGUCCCAGGCCAGGAUAUCGUUGUACAUAUUCUCAGCUAAGUGAGCACCAAUAGAGGAGAGGGAGAGUCUCAUGGAAGUUCCUUCUAAGCCUUUGGCUCUUUUUACCUUCAACAAGGUGUGCCACCUCUUUGAUCCAGCAAGUGGGAAGAACAGUCCCGGCCUCUUUGCACACAAGACCGUGAUACCAAUGCACCAUCACAGGCCCCACAGGGGAGCUGUCCGCUUCCCCACACAGCUGCUAGGGGCUCUUUUGCAUGUUCCCAACCUUUCCUGCCUUUAUCUGAUAUUCCUUUACUAAUACAGGGCUCUUGUUUCCCUCAGGUUCCUUAGAUCCUGGGAUGAGGAGGUGGACCAGCAGAAGGUGGGCUUGUGAAGGCAGCCCGGGGUCCAAAUCCUCCUGGCUCUUCAGCUUAGCGGGUUAGUUAACAUUCAGAAGCCUUCAUCUCCCAUCUGCAAAAUGGGCAUGUCCAACUCAGAAGCUGCCUUGAAGAAAGGGUCUACCCAGCAUGGUGCGUGGAGCCUAAGCAGUCAGUACUUCAGGACUUCACCCGGCCCCUUUCCAAUAACUGCUGCUGUCGCCCUCACAGGAUGUCACCUUCAGCGUCUGAAAGCUGGGUUUGAUGCGUCUGGAAAGGCGUCCCUGACAGGCGUCGUUGCCAGGAGCCCCUAGUGCCACCAGCAGCCAGCAGGGGAGGGCGUCCUCUGCCCGCUCACUUCUGACCCUUCUCUCGUUGCACCCGGAACAUGGUGCAGCUGGGAGCAGCCUGGGCUGCGCGGAAGGCUCAGAUUUGGGGACGGCCCUUGCCAGUGACUGUGAGCUGGGGUGUCUUGGAAACUCCCAGUCUCAGCUUCUCCAUUUAUAAGAUGAGAAUGAUCAUACCAGACUCAGGCAAGGUUGUUUGUGCAUUAGUGAAAUCAGACGUAUUAAAUAAAGUACCACAUUGAUCGUGGAGUUGUUGAAUAACCAAGAACACGCCUAUCUGUC